rnacentral:tRNA from 1 species
GCAUAUGUGGUUCUGUUGACAGAGUGCUUGCAUAGGAUGCAAGAUGCUCUGGGUUCAAUCCCCAGCACUGCA